GACGAACGCUGGCGGCGUGCUUAACACAUGCAAGUCGAACGGAAAGGCCCUGCUUUUGUGGGGUGCUCGAGUGGCGAACGGGUGAGUAACACGUGAGUAACCUGCCCUUGACUUUGGGAUAACUUCAGGAAACUGGGGCUAAUACCGGAUAGGAGCUCCUGCUGCAUGGGGGGGGUUGGAAAGUUUCGGCGGUGGGGGAUGGACUCGCGGCUUAUCAGCUUGUUGGGGGGGUAGUGGCUUACCAAGGCUUUGAAGGGUAGCCGGCCUGAGAGGGUGACCGGCCACAUUGGGACUGCGAUACGGCCCAGACUCCUACGGGAGGCAGCAGUGGGGAAUAUUGCACAAUGGGCGGAAGCCUGAUGCAGCAACGCCGCGUGCGGGAUGACGGCCUUCGGGUUGUAAACCGCUUUCGCCUGUGACGAAGCGUGAGUGACGGUAAUGGGUAAAGAAGCACCGGCUAACUACGUG
rnacentral:rRNA from 1 species